UGGAUGGCAUCACAAACACAUUGUUGCAGCUUCUUCUGCGUAAAAGAUAUACCCAUCCAUCCUUUCAAUCUAUUUUCAACGCAUAAUGAGGGCUUUAACUACACUUUGGACACUCUACUACACAAUUGAUCUAUUUUCAACGCAUAAUGAGGGCUUUAACUACACUUUGGACACUCUACUACACAUGUGAAAACAUGAAUUUCAACGCCAAUGAAUAUUGG